UUAAGCGACUAAGCGUACACGGUGGAUGCCCUGGCAGUCAGAGGCGAUGAAGGACGUGCUAAUCUGCGAUAAGCGUCGGUAAGGUGAUAUGAACCGUUAUAACCGGCGAUUUCCGAAUGGGGAAACCCAGUGUGAUUCGUCACACUAUCAUUAACUGAAUCCAUAGGUUAAUGAGGCGAACCGGGGGAACUGAAACAUCUAAGUACCCCGAGGAAAAGAAAUCAACCGAGAUUCCCCCAGUAGCGGCGAGCGAACGGGGAGGAGCCCAGAGCCUGAAUCAGUGUGUGUGUUAGUGGAAGCGUCUGGAAAGGCGUGCGAUACAGGGUGACAGCCCCGUACACAAAAAUGCACAUAUUGUGAGCUCGAUGAGUAGGGCGGGACACGUGGUAUCCUGUCUGAAUAUGGGGGGACCAUCCUCCAAGGCUAAAUACUCCUGACUGACCGAUAGUGAACCAGUACCGUGAGGGAAAGGCGAAAAGAACCCCGGCGAGGGGAGUGAAAAAGAACCUGAAACCGUGUACGUACAAGCAGUGGGAGCCUCUUUUAUGGGGUGACUGCGUACCUUUUGUAUAAUGGGUCAGCGACUUAUAUUCUGUAGCAAGGUUAACCGAAUAGGGGAGCCGAAGGGAAACCGAGUCUUAACUGGGCGUUAAGUUGCAGGGUAUAGACCCGAAACCCGGUGAUCUAGCCAUGGGCAGGUUGAAGGUUGGGUAACACUAACUGGAGGACCGAACCGACUAAUGUUGAAAAAUUAGCGGAUGACUUGUGGCUGGGGGUGAAAGGCCAAUCAAACCGGGAGAUAGCUGGUUCUCCCCGAAAGCUAUUUAGGUAGCGCCUCGUGAAUUCAUCUCCGGGGGUAGAGCACUGUUUCGGCAAGGGGGUCAUCCCGACUUACCAACCCGAUGCAAACUGCGAAUACCGGAGAAUGUUAUCACGGGAGACACACGGCGGGUGCUAACGUCCGUCGUGAAGAGGGAAACAACCCAGACCGCCAGCUAAGGUCCCAAAGUCAUGGUUAAGUGGGAAACGAUGUGGGAAGGCCCAGACAGCCAGGAUGUUGGCUUAGAAGCAGCCAUCAUUUAAAGAAAGCGUAAUAGCUCACUGGUCGAGUCGGCCUGCGCGGAAGAUGUAACGGGGCUAAACCAUGCACCGAAGCUGCGGCAGCGACACUAUGUGUUGUUGGGUAGGGGAGCGUUCUGUAAGCCUGUGAAGGUGGCCUGUGAGGGUUGCUGGAGGUAUCAGAAGUGCGAAUGCUGACAUAAGUAACGAUAAAGCGGGUGAAAAGCCCGCUCGCCGGAAGACCAAGGGUUCCUGUCCAACGUUAAUCGGGGCAGGGUGAGUCGACCCCUAAGGCGAGGCCGAAAGGCGUAGUCGAUGGGAAACAGGUUAAUAUUCCUGUACUUGGUGUUACUGCGAAGGGGGGACGGAGAAGGCUAUGUUGGCCGGGCGACGGUUGUCCCGGUUUAAGCGUGUAGGCUGGUUUUCCAGGCAAAUCCGGAAAACCAAGGCUGAGGCGUGAUGACGAGGCACUACGGUGCUGAAGCGACAAAUGCCCUGCUUCCAGGAAAAGCCUCUAAGCAUCAGGUAACAUCAAAUCGUACCCCAAACCGACACAGGUGGUCAGGUAGAGAAUACCAAGGCGCUUGAGAGAACUCGGGUGAAGGAACUAGGCAAAAUGGUGCCGUAACUUCGGGAGAAGGCACGCUGAUAUGUAGGUGAAGCGACUUGCUCGUGGAGCUGAAAUCAGUCGAAGAUACCAGCUGGCUGCAACUGUUUAUUAAAAACACAGCACUGUGCAAACACGAAAGUGGACGUAUACGGUGUGACGCCUGCCCGGUGCCGGAAGGUUAAUUGAUGGGGUUAGCGGUAACGCGAAGCUCUUGAUCGAAGCCCCGGUAAACGGCGGCCGUAACUAUAACGGUCCUAAGGUAGCGAAAUUCCUUGUCGGGUAAGUUCCGACCUGCACGAAUGGCGUAAUGAUGGCCAGGCUGUCUCCACCCGAGACUCAGUGAAAUUGAACUCGCUGUGAAGAUGCAGUGUACCCGCGGCAAGACGGAAAGACCCCGUGAACCUUUACUAUAGCUUGACACUGAACAUUGAGCCUUGAUGUGUAGGAUAGGUGGGAGGCUUUGAAGUGUGGACGCCAGUCUGCAUGGAGCCGACCUUGAAAUACCACCCUUUAAUGUUUGAUGUUCUAACGUUGGCCCGUAAUCCGGGUUGCGGACAGUGUCUGGUGGGUAGUUUGACUGGGGCGGUCUCCUCCUAAAGAGUAACGGAGGAGCACGAAGGUUGGCUAAUCCUGGUCGGACAUCAGGAGGUUAGUGCAAUGGCAUAAGCCAGCUUGACUGCGAGCGUGACGGCGCGAGCAGGUGCGAAAGCAGGUCAUAGUGAUCCGGUGGUUCUGAAUGGAAGGGCCAUCGCUCAACGGAUAAAAGGUACUCCGGGGAUAACAGGCUGAUACCGCCCAAGAGUUCAUAUCGACGGCGGUGUUUGGCACCUCGAUGUCGGCUCAUCACAUCCUGGGGCUGAAGUAGGUCCCAAGGGUAUGGCUGUUCGCCAUUUAAAGUGGUACGCGAGCUGGGUUUAGAACGUCGUGAGACAGUUCGGUCCCUAUCUGCCGUGGGCGCUGGAGAACUGAGGGGGGCUGCUCCUAGUACGAGAGGACCGGAGUGGACGCAUCACUGGUGUUCGGGUUGUCAUGCCAAUGGCACUGCCCGGUAGCUAAAUGCGGAAGAGAUAAGUGCUGAAAGCAUCUAAGCACGAAACUUGCCCCGAGAUGAGUUCUCCCUGACUCCUUGAGGGUCCUGAAGGAACGUUGAAGACGACGACGUUGAUAGGCCGGGUGUGUAAGCGCAGCGAUGCGUUGAGCUAACCGGUACUAAUGAACCGUGAGGCUUAACCUU
rnacentral:rRNA from 1 species